rnacentral:rRNA from 1 species
GUUGAGGAGAGCUGUCCCUAGUACGAGAGGACCGGGAUGGACGUGUCACUGGUGCACCAGUUGUUCUGCCAAGAGCAUCGCUGGGUAGCUACACACGGAUGUGAUAACUGCUGAAAGCAUCUAAGCAGGAAGCCAACUCCAAGAUAAACUUUCCCUGAAGCUCGCACAAAGACUAUGUGCUUGAUAGGGUAGAUGUGUAAGCGCAGUAAUGCGUUUAGCUGACUACUACUAAUAGAGCGUUUGGCUUGUUUUUUG